AAAAAAAAAAAGUCUAGAAUAUAUUGGUUACAUUCCUGACGUGACGUUUUCAAUCAACAAAAAUAUUCCUCCCAAAUUUAUCAGUUCCAUUAUGGUUAAUAAAAAAAAUAUUUUUAUUAUAUAUAAUUUUUUUAACCGAUAUAAUAAAUGAUAAAUAUAUUACUAUAAAGUUUAAUUUUUUUGUGUUGUUUCUGCAAAAAUUCUAUAUUUUUAAAUAUAUCUCUAUCAUUAGAAUUUAUUAGAAAAUUUUAGUUAAUCAUAGGUUAAAAACUUAAUCCUAAUUAAUUUUUGUUAUUUUUACUUUUUUUAUAUUAUAUUGUUAUUAUUUUGAAGGAACAUAUUUGUCAUAAUAAAAUUAAAAAAAUAAACAGUUUUCUAACGAUAGCAAAUUAAAAGGAUAUAUGUGAAAACAUCAGGACUUUUCGAAAAACAAUAUAAACAAAUUGAACUUUGUAAGGACAUAUUUAUAAUUCAUUAUAUUUGUAAGGAUUUGUAUGAUAACAAAAAUUUGAUGGGCAUCCGUUCCCAAACAACUUAUUUGGGGACUGAGGCGAUGGGCGCCACGUG
rnacentral:lncRNA from 1 species